AUGUUAUCCAGAAAGGUUGAGGGAUUAGACCCUAUGAAACCUUAGCAACCCUUUGCAAAAGCCAAGAAGGUGCUACGUUCUACCAAGAUAUUUGGACAGAUAACAA
rnacentral:ncRNA from 1 species